rnacentral:rRNA from 1 species
GUAACCUUACGGAGCCAGCCGUCGAAGGUGGGGGCGAUGAUUGGGGUGAAGUCGUAACAAGGUAGCCGUAUCGGAAGGUGCGGCUGGAUCACCUCCUUUCUAGGGAA